CGGGACCGGGUGGAGGUAAGUGUCUGGGAAACGUCUCGAUGGAGGGGGAUAACUACUGGAAACGGUAGCUAAUACCGCAUAACGUCGCAAGACCAAAGAGGGGGACCUUAGGGCCUCUUGCCAUCGGAUGUGCCCAGAUGGGAUUAGCUAGUAGGUGGGGUAACGGCUCACCUAGGCGACGAUCCCUAGCUGGUCUGAGAGGAUGACCAGCCACACUGGAACUGAGACACGGUCCAG
rnacentral:rRNA from 1 species